rnacentral:rRNA from 1 species
AGAGCGAACGUUAGCGGCGCGCUUAACACAUGCAAGUCGAACGAGAAAGGGACUUCGGUCCCCGGUAAAGUGGCGCACGGGUGCGUAACACGUAGGCAAUCUUCCCUUUGGAGGGGGAUAACUACCCGAAAGGGUAGCUAAUACCGUGUAAGACCACGAGCUCCACGGAGCUUGCGGUCAAAGGAGGCCUCUUCAUGAAAGCUUCCACCAGAGGAUGAGCCUGCGGCCCAUCAGCUAGUUGGCAGGGUAACGGCCUACCAAGGCUAAGACGGGUAGCCGGGUCUGAGAGGAUGAUCGGCCACACUGGCACUGAAACACGGGCCAGACUCCUACGGGAGGCAGCAGUGGGGAAUCUUGGACAAUGGGCGAAAGCCUGAUCCAGCGACGCCGCGUGGGUGAUGAAGGCCUUCGGUUGUAAAGCCGUGUUGAGGGAAAGAAACGUGGCGCGAAUAGCUCCGACCUUGACGGUACCCUCAGAAACGCACCGGCUAACUCUAGUGCCAGCAGCCGCGUAAUC